AUUGAACGCUGGCGGCAUGCUUUACACAUGCAAGUCGAACGGUAACAGGCCGCAAGGUGCUGACGGGUGGCGAACGGGUGAGUAAUGCAUCGGAACGUGCCCAGUCGUGGGGGAUAACGCAGCGAAAGCUGCGCUAAUACCGCAUACGAUCUCUGGAUGAAAGCGGGGGACCGAACGGACUCGCGCGAUUGGAGCCGCCCAUGUCAGAUUAGGUAGUUGGUGGGGUAAAGGCUCACCAAGCCAACGAUCUGUAGCUGGUCUGAGAGGACGACCGGCCGAGAUGGGACGGAGGCACGAGCCAGACGCGUACGGGAGGCAGGAGUGGGGAAUAUUGGACAAGGGGCGGAGGCCUGAUCCAGCAUUGCCGCGUGGAGGAAGAGGGCCUUCGGGUUGUAAACGGCUUUUGUACGGAACGAAACGGUCCUGGUUAAUAACUGGGGCUAAUGACGGGACCGUAAGAAUAAGCACCGGCUAACUACGUGCCAGCAGCCGCCGUAACAC
rnacentral:rRNA from 1 species